AAGAAUGAGUUACAGAUAAAGUUGCAUCCUAUUGAUACACUCAUCAUCUGGGAAGAAGCCUGCUGGAUCAUUGCUUCCCCAUCUCUCUGUAGCCUGCUGUCAACCCAGUAGUACACAACCCUACUGAACUCAAAGCUGCAAGAUUCUCAGCCAAGGAAGAGUGCUUCACCGUGCUGUGGGUGUGCUUGACAAGUUCCACUAACAAUGGGAUGCUUUCACUCAUUUACCUGCAGUGACUGACCUUGGCAUGUGAGCAGCACUGGCAGCAGGACCCCUCCAGAGGCUGCUCUCCCAGAAGAGGGAUUGAUUCAGGAGAAGAAAAGCCAGCAGCCCUAAAUGACAGGAAGCCAGGAUGCUGGAACCUGCUUGGAAGGGACAGGGAUGUUUGUCUCCAGCCCAUUCUCCUGACACCCAGUCCUUCUGCACAACCACAGCAGCCAUGGGCUGCCCAGCCUAAAAGCUUCUGGCACUAUUUCAUUGAGAAGCUUUUGCACUUCUUAAAUUCAGC
ensembl:lncRNA